rnacentral:rRNA from 1 species
AUUGAACGCUGGCGGCAGGCCUAACACAUGCAAGUCGAACGAGCGGCGGACGGGUGAGUAAUGUAUGGGGAACUGCCCGAUAGAGGGGGAUAACUACUGGAAACGGUGGCUAAUACCGCAUACUAUCAGAUGAACCCAUAUGGGAUUAGCUAGUAGGUGGGGUAAAGGCUCACCUAGGCGACGAUCUCUAUCUGGUCUGAGAGGAUUAUCAGCCACACUGGGACUGAGACACGGCCCAGACUCCUACGGGAGGCAGCAGUGGGGAAUAUUGCACAAUGGGCGCAAGCCUGAUGCAGCCAGGCCGCGUGUAUGAAGAAGGCCUUAGGGUUGUAAAGUACUUUCAGCGGGGAGGCGUUACCCGCAGAAGAAGCACCGGCUAACUCCGUGCCAGCAGCCGCGGUAAUUC